UACGUAGGGUGCGAGCGUUGUCCGGAAUUACUGGGCGUAAAGAGCUCGUAGGUGGUUUGUCGCGUUGUUCGUGAAAACCGGGGGCUUAACCCUCGGCGUGCGGGCGAUACGGGCAGACUUGAGUACUGCAGGGGAGACUGGAAUUCCUGGUGUAGCGGUGGAAUGCGCAGAUAUCAGGAGGAACACCGGUGGCGAAGGCGGGUCUCUGGGCAGUAACUGACGCUGAGGAGCGAAAGCAUGGGGAGCGAACAGGAUUAGAACCUACGUAGUCAGACCAAGUCCAUCUGCACCUGAUCAUACACUGACCGUACCCCUGAC
rnacentral:rRNA from 1 species